AAGACUAUACUUUCAGGGAUCAUUUCUAUAGUUUGUUACUAGGAAUAUAGUUAAUGAUAUUGUAGUAGCAUUGU
rnacentral:snoRNA from 1 species